UACGUAGGGUGCAAGCGUUGUCCGGAAUUAUUGGGCGUAAAGAGCUCGUAGGCGGUCUGUCGCGUCGGCUGUGAAAACCCGGAGCUCAACUCCGGGCCUGCAGUCGAUACGGGCAGACUGGAGUUCGGCAGGGGAGACUGGAAUUCCUGGUGUAGCGGUGAAAUGCGCAGAUAUCAGGAGGAACACCGGUGGCGAAGGCGGGUCUCUGGGCCGAUACUGACGCUGAGGAGCGAAAGCUAGGUGAGCAAACGGG
rnacentral:rRNA from 1 species